CUAAAGAAGGAAGAGAGAAAUAGAGAGGAAGAAAGAGAAAGAACAAGAGAAGAAAGAAAGAGACGAAAGAAAGAAAGAGAGAAAAAGAAAGAAAAAGAGAAAGAAAAGCUUUUUUGACAGCAAGUGUGGGAACAUCUGGUAUCCUCUGAGCAUACGCUCCUCAUCUCCAGUAGCUUCCAGCCCUCAAGUGACUCCUGAUUGCAAAUAACAAAAUCAUCUCUAAAGAGCAGCUCCAGAACCCUGGAGCAAGUUUCAGUUCUAAAGGCCCCUGCAUUGGGCAGUCACCUGCACUUCUCAUGGCGUGGGACAGAAAGGAAUCAUGCUCGGACCUGGCACGUCCCUCCCUCUGGUCCUACAUCUCGGCCAGGGGAUCUAAAACUCUCAGAGUAUGUUUAGUGCUGGAAGGCCUGAGCAGACUGGCCCAGGACUCUGCAUUUCCACAAGGAGAAGGGGCGAGGUACAGAUGUGGAUAUAGAAUCAGAUCAGAAUUUUCUUGGCAGUUUCAGGUAACUUAUCUCAAAGAUUUCUUUAUUAUCUUUUGUCCAAAUUCUUCUCUCAUAUAGUCAGAGCCCGGCAUUAAGUUGGUUUUUUAAGAUGUCUCAGAACCACUUGGUCAGAA
rnacentral:lncRNA from 1 species